UGGGGAAUUUUGGACAAUGGGCGCAAGCCUGAUCCAGCAAUGCCGCGUGAGUGAAGAAGGCCUUCGGGUUGUAAAGCUCUUUUGUCAGGGAAGAAACGGUGGGAGCUAAUAUCUCCCGCUAAUGACGGUACCUGAAGAAUAAGCACCGGCUAACUACGUGCCAGCAGCCGCGGUAAUACGUAGGGUGCAAGCGUUAAUCGGAAUUACUGGGCGUAAAGCGUGCGCAGGCGGUUUUGUAAGUCUGUCGUGAAAUCCCCGGGCUUAACCUGGGAAUUGCGAUGGAGACUGCAAGGCUAGAAUCUGGCAGAGGGGGGUAGAAUUCCACGUGUAGCAGUGAAAUGCGUAGAGAUGUGGAGGAACACCGAUGGCGAAGGCAGCCCCCUGGGUCAAGAUUGACGCUCAUGCACGAAAGCGUGGGGAGCAAACAGGAUUAGAUACCCUGGUAGUCCACGCCCUAAACGAUGUCUACUAGUUGUCGGGUCUUAAUUGACUUGGUAACGCAGCUAACGCGUGAAGUAGACCGCCUGGGGAGUACGGUCGCAAGAUUAA
rnacentral:rRNA from 1 species